ACAUCACUAUUGUAGAACCUAAGAUUGGCCUUUUGAGGUGUCUCUAUAGGUUUUUGCAUUUCUGAUG
rnacentral:miRNA from 1 species